AUGGCGUCCCUGGGGACUUUCGUCCUGCUCUUGUGGCUGUCGCUGCACUGGCUCAGCCGAGGACAGAAGGUGGAGCAGCAUCCUUCCACCCUGAGUGUCCAGGAGGGAAGCAGCUCUGUUAUCUCCUGUAGUUACUCAGACAGCGCCUCAGAUUACUUCCCUUGGUAUAAGCAAGAACUUGGAAAAGGUCCCCAGCUCAUUAUAGACAUUCGUUCAAAUGUGGCCAGAAAAGAAGAGCAAAGACUCACUGUUUUAUUGAAUAAGACGGCCAAGCAUCUGUCCCUGCACAUCGCAGCCACCCAGCCUGCAGACUCAGCGGUCUACUUCUGUGCAGCAAGUACACAUUGCAUCCCAGACACCUGCCGCCUGUGCUCAAACCUGCCACGGGGCAGCCCCUGUCCUUUGACACAGACCUUCAAGUAGAGCAUUUGUGUCAUUGUUUGUCUGCAGGUGGAAGCUAAUGUGUUAGACAUAAAACCUAACAUAAGGCUCUUGGGAUCAAGAGCCUUCCUGAAGAGAGUUAGUAAGGUUUUAUUUUGAAAUUCAGAUUUUAAUGCUGAUUUACAUUUACUAUUUAGAUUUUUGUCAUACAAACAACUCUUUGUUAAAUUAUCACAUUUCUAUGUUGGAUUAACUUUCAACUCUUGUCUUUCCAAUACUGCAGAUGUUAUUUUUGGUCUGUUAUAAAACACUAUGUGCUAAAUAUAGAAGAUAUGUAAAAAUCAAAGGGUGAAAUUGUUAAUUGUGUACCCAGCUAAUUUAUUAUCAAUGUUUGGUUUAUUCUCUGUUUACAUUCUAAUGUAACUUGGAUUCUGAUUCUUUCCACUCAUUGUUAUAUCCUGAAUUGAGCAUUUUCCUCUAACACCUGAUUUUUAAUAGCUCCAUGAGAGAUUUUCAACAGUCACAGUUAUAUUUUUAAUUUUCUUCCUGGUCUGUCUUUCUGGCAGUAUAUAACAACCCUUUCUAUGUGUUCUGAUUACUUUCUUCUUGAGAAAAUGUGACUCACACUGACUACAGAAGUUUUUAUAUAUUCACAUGCUCUAGAGAUAUCCACUAGUUCAGCCACUUGAAUUAAUGUUGUUUUUGUUAAGCGACUGGAUUUUAUAAUGGAGUUUGGAGUGGUAAUUGCAUUCCCAGUCUGGCAUUUUUUCUUCAGAGUUUAAGAUAAGAUUAUUAAAAAUCUAUUAAUUCAGAAACUGGUCUGAGAAUGUCCAAAAGAUUAAUCCUGGACACGGACACCUCUUGAACCAUGGAAGCACAAUCAUGAGAUUCCUUUGGUUGAGAAAUGUGUACAAGCUGAGUAAUAGGAGGAGAAAUUAAU